AUAAUAUUCUUCAAGAGAUUUACAGAGUCCCUUGAGUGAAUUGUUGGUUUGUUCUUAGUACUGAAUUUCCUAUUCAAAUUUAUUUAGAAGUUCAUUUCUUACAGUGAUCUCAUCUCCUAUUAAGAUAUUCUUCAAGAUCUGGAGGCCAUCCUUUAAGCUUCUUGCAACAGUCUGGGAGCAAAGAGUCUACUCGCCACUGGGUAGUGGGCCAUGGACACCCCAGUCUCCACCAGAAGUUCGGGAUUGCAAAAUGGGACUCUGGCAGCAAAUUUCAAACUGUAUGCCAGACCUGGCCCUUUGCAGGUGUCUGGAAAGAUGGCUGAAUAGGAACAGCUCCGCUCUGCAGCUCCCAGCGAGAUCAACGCAGAAGGAGAUAAUUUCUGCAUUUCCAACUAAGGUACCCAGCUCAUCUCAUUGGGACUGGUUAGACAGUGGGUGCAGCCCACAGAAGGCAAGCAGAAGCAGGGUGGGGUGUCACCUCACCCGGGAAGCACAAGGGGUCAGAGAACUCCCUCCCCUAGCCAAGGGAAGCCGUGAGGGACUGUGCCGUGAGGAACGGGGCAUUCCGGCACAGAUACUAUGCUUUCCCCAUGGUCUUUGCAACCCACAGACCAGGAGAUUCCCUUGGGUGCCUACACCACCAGGGCCCUGGGUUUUAAGCAAAAAACUGGGCUGCCAUUUGGGUAGACACUGAGCUAGCAGCAGGAGUUUUUUUCAUACCCUAGUAGCCCCUAGAAUGCCAGCGAGACAGAACUGUUCACUCCCCUGGAAAGGGGCACUGAAGCCAGGAAGCCAAGUGUUCUAGCUCAGUAGAUCCCACCCCUACGGAGCCCAGCAAGCUGAGACCCACUGGGUUGAAAUUCUCGCUGCCAGCACAGCAGUCUGAUGUCCACCUGGAAUGCUUGAGCUUGGUGCAGGGAGGGGCGUCUGCCAUUACUGAGGCUUGAUUAGGCAGUUUCCCCCUCACAGUGUAAACAAAGCUAUUGGGAAGUUUGAACUGGGUGGAGCCCACUGCAGCUCAGCAAAGUUGCUGUAGCAAGAGUGUCUCUCUAGAUUCCUCCUCUCUGAGCAGGACAUCUCUGAAACAAAGACAGCAGCCCCAGUCAGGGACUUAUAGAUAAAACUCCCAUCUCCCUGGGACAGAGCACCUGAGGGAAGGGGCAGCUGUGGGCACAGCUUCAGGACACUUAAACGUUCCUGCCUGCUGGCUCUGAAGAAAGCAGCAGAUCUCCCAGCACAGUGAUCGAGUUCUGCUAAGGGACAGACUGCCUCCUCAAGUGGGUCCCUGACCCCUGUGCCUCCGGAGUGGGAGAGACCUUCCAGCAGGGGUCGACAGACAUCUGGUUGGUGCCCCUCUGAGAUGAAGCUUCCAGAGGAAGGAACAGGCAGCAAUCUGUGCUGUUCUGUGGCCUGCGCUGGUGAUACCCAGGUAAACAGGAUCUGGAGUGGAUCUCCAGCAAACUCCAGCAGACCUGCAGCAGAGGGGCCUGACUGUUAGAAGGAAAACUAACACACAGAAAGGAAUAGCAUCAACAUCAACAAAAAGGACAUCCACACAAAAACCCCAUCUGAAGGUCACCAGCAUCAAAGACCAAAGGUGGAUAAAUCCACGAAGAUGAGGAAAAACCAGCGCAAAAAGGCUGAAAAUUCCAAAAACCAGAACACCUUUUCUCCUGCAAAGGAUCACAACUCCUUGCCAGCAGGAGAACAAAACCAGAUGGAGAAUGAGUUUGACGAAUUUACAGAAGGAGGCUUCAGAAGGUGGGUAAUAACAAACUCCUCUGAGCUAAAGGAGCAUGUUCUAGCCCAAUGCAAGGAAGCUAAAAAUGAAAAAAGGCUGUAGGAAUUGCUAACUAGAAUAACCACUUUAGAGAAGAACAUAAAUGAUCUGAUGGAGCUGAAAAACACAGCACGAGAACUUCGUGAAGCAUACAGAAGUAUCAAUAGCUGAAUCAAUCAAGCAGAAGAAAGGAUAUCAGAGAUUGAAGAUCAACUUAAUGACAUAAAGUGUGAAGUCAAGAUUAGAGAAAAAAAGAAUGAAAAGGAACGAACAAAGCCUCCAAGAAAAUGGGACUAUGUGAAAAGACCAAACCUAUGUUUAAUUGGUGUACCUGAAAGUGCUGGGGAGAAUAGAACCAAGUUUGAAAACACUCUUAGGAUAUUACCCAGGAGAACUUCCCCAACCUAGCAAGACAGGCCAAUAUUCAAAUCAGUAAAUACAGAGAACACCACAAAGAUACUCCUUGAGAAGAGCAACCCCAAGACACAUAAUCAUCAGAUUCACCAAGGAUGAAAUGAAGAAAAAAAUGUUAAGAGCAGCCAGAGAGAAAGGUCGGCUUACUCACAAAGGGAAGCCCAUCAAACUAAUAGCAGAUUUCUCUGCUGAAACCCUACAAGCCAGAAUAGAGUGGGGGCCAAUAUUUAACAUUCUUAAAGAAAAGAAUUUUCAGCCCAGAAUUUCAUAUCCAGCCAAACUAAGCUUCAUAAGCAAAGGAGAAAUAAAAUCCUGAGAGACAAGCAAAUGCUGAGCGAUUUUGUCACCACCAGGCCUGCCUUGCAAGAGCUCCAGAAGGCAGCACUAAACACAUAAAGGAAAAACCAGUACCAGCCACUGCAAAAACAUAACAAACUGUAAAGACCACUGACACUAUGAAGAAACUGCAUCAACUAACAGGCAAAAUAACCAACUAGCAUCAUAAUGACAGGAUCAGAUUAACACAUAACAAUAUUAACCUUAAAUGUAAAUGGGCUAAAUGCCACAAUUAAAAGAUAGAGACUGGCAAAUUGGAUAAAGAGUCAAAACCCAUCAUUGUGCUGUAUUCAGGAGACCCAUCUCACGCGUAAAGACACACAUAGGCUCAAAAUAAAGGGAUGGAGGAAUAUUUACCAAGCAAAUGG